CUUCAUGGAGUACCUGGAAUAUGAGAUAUAUGUGCGAAUUUGUAACGAAGGAUCUGGUUAGAUACAAUUUUCACUGGUUUGAAUCUCUGGCUUUAGUUCGUCUAGUGCUUACCGCAGUGUUCUUAAAGGUUAAAUGGGGCUUUAGCUUUUUCUUCUCUCAAGAUAGGAUUGCCAUUGAUAGAGGUGGUGUUUUUUUGGGCUCAACUAUUGGCAAGUUAAGCUUUUUUGUGGCAUUCAGAAGAGAUAUACUAAAAAUUAAGGAUGAUGCACGUUGGGUGCCACCUGGAUGUCUUUAUUAUUUGUUUGA